UACAGAGGUCUCAAGCGUUGUUCGGAUUCAUUGGGCGUAAAGGGUGCGUAGGCGGCGCGGUAAGUCGGGUGUGAAAUUUCGGAGCUUAACUCCGAAACUGCAUUCGAUACUGGCGUGCUUGAGGACUGGAGAGGAGACUGGAAUUUACGGUGUAGCAGUGAAAUGCGUAGAUAUCGUAAGGAAGACCAGUGGCGAAGGCGGGGUCUCUGGACAGUUCCUGACACUGAGACACGAAGGCCAGGGGAGCAAACGGG
rnacentral:rRNA from 1 species